rnacentral:misc_RNA from 1 species
UCUCCGUUGGUGAACCAGCGGAGGGAUCAUUGCUGGAACACGUCCCCCCGGGCGUACCCAGAAACCCUUUGUGAACAUACCUUUUUGUUGCUUCGGCGGGAUCGCCCCGGCUGCCCUGAGCGCCGGAACCAGGCCCCCGCCGCAAGACCUUAAACUCUGUUUUAUUAUAGUUGUUUACUCUGAGUAGCUUCUAAAGCAAAGAAAUAAAUCAAAACUUUCAACAACGGAUCUCUUGGUUCUGGCAUCGAUGAAGAACGCAGC